ACACGCCUGGCGGCAAGGCCAGGUCAUUGCUACGUGGUGGUAACCCGGCCUCCUGAUCUCCGCGGUCCCGCCGUCGGACCGGAGUGGAAUGUCAGGUUCACACACUGCGAGUUGCGGCGGGCUCACCGAGCUGCUCCAGUCCGCGCUGGCUCCCUGACUUGAGAGUACUUAUCGGAAGGACGCAAUUUCUUUUUCAGGAAAGGGAGAGAGGAAAACAGUGGGGGUCGAUUCGUCUCCGUCUGUUGGGAUCACACGAUGAAACCGGCUUCAAGCGUCAUGCAACGUCCCAGGGGCCCCACGGGAAGGUUCAUUCCUUGACUUCCUCUUGGUUCUGAUUCCCUGGGGAGCCCUGACUCAUACAGGACCUCAAGGAAGAUGCGUCAAUGGUUAAUUACCCAAAGCCUCAUCCAUCCUCAAGAUUUUCAAACUUUAUUUUUUUUUUUGUAAAUGAAUGGGCAUUGUGUUUAUGGAUUUUAAAAAUACGAUUGUUUUAUUUAAAUGCCAUGCUGAGCAGUUGUUCUCUGUUCAUGGUAACCAAAACCUGAAGCGAUUUCGAUCAGUUUUGAUCACUGUUUAGUUAUCCAAAACAUGUACUGUGUACAAAUGAAAUAAUAUGGCAUAUUAGCCAGGUUUC
rnacentral:lncRNA from 1 species